rnacentral:rRNA from 1 species
UGAUGCUGGCUCACGAUGAACGCUGGCGGCGUGCCAAGCACAUGCACGACCAGCGAUCUUCUUCGGAAGAGAGCGGGGGAAGGGUGAGUAACGCGGGGGUAACCUGCCUCAUUCUCCUGGAUGACAUACCGAAAGGUCUGCUAGUACAAUGAUGAUAUAAGACAUUCUGCAUGGAUUUCUUAUCAAGGCUCCGGUGGUAUGACAUGGACCCCCCUCUGAUUAGCUAGUUGGUAGGGUAACGGCUUACAAACGCCACCAUCACUAGCCGACCUGAGAGGGUGAUCGUGUGCCCUUGUAACUGAGACUCAGCCCACACUCCUAGCAGGAGGCAUCAGUGGGGAAUAUUGCCCCAUGGGCAGAAAGCCUGAUGCGGCAACCCCUCGCGAGCUAUCAACGUCUUCCGGUCGUACACUCUGUCCGUCAGGGAACAUAAUGACGGUAUCUUGAGGAUGAAGCCCCGGCUAACUACGUGCCACCACCCUCGGUAUUACUUAGGGGGCUAGCGUUAUCCUCGAAUUACUGGGUGUAAAGGGUGCGUAGGUGGUUUGUUAACUUUCAGGCGACAAGCUACAGCUCUCCUCUAUUACUGCUUUGACUCUGGGAGACUUGAGUGCUGGAUAAGAGAGUGGAUUUCCUGCUGUAGCGGUGAUCUGUGUAUAUAUGUAGAGGCGAACACCAGUUGCGAAUGCGGCUCUCUGGACUGUAACUCACCGCUGAAGCACUAAUUCCGUGGGGAGCAAACAGGAUUAGAUACCUGGGUAGUGCGCGCUGUCAUCGAAGAGUACUAGCUGUCGGAGGUUCCCCCAUUCGAUGGCGCAGUGAACACAAUAAGUUUCUCACGUGGGGAGUAGGAGCGCACGGGGGGAACUCAGAGGAAUUGUCGGGGGGCCGCACAAUCAGUGGAUGAUGUGGUUUAAUUGGUCGCAACGAGAAGAACCUUACCAGGGUUUGACCUCCAAUUAUUGAAGUAGCGAGACAUUAGGUGCCUUUCGGGCAAAGUUGAGACAGGUGGUGCAUGGCUUUCGUCAGGUGGUGUGGCGAGAUGUUGGGUUAAGUCCGGCAGCGAGUGCUAUCCGUAUUGUUAGUUGUUAUGCAAGAGCAGUCUAGUGAGCACUGCCGUUACAAAACGGAGGAAGGCGGGGUCGAAGUCAAAUCAUCAUUCCCCCUAUAUCCUGGGGUCCUCAGGUAAUACAAGGGCGAUCUACAGAGGGAAGCAAGACAUCGACCUGGAGCAAAUCCCCAAAAGGCGUGUCAGUUAGGAUUGCAGGGGUCAACUCCCAUGUAUGAAGUCGGAAUUGUUAGUAAUGGCGGAUCAGCAUGCCGCGGUGAAUACGUUCCCGGCCCUAGCACACACCGCCCUUCA